UCAUGCACGUUUCAGAUGUUCUGCUCCAGCCAAACAAAUUGUCCGGGCUUAAUUUCUGAGAAAUCAUGGUCAGGAAUUGCUGAACCAGUUUAAUUCUAAAGCACAUAUUUAUACGGGGCUUCAAAAUUCACAUCCUUGCACACCAUUACAAAUGGAAGGGAGAGAAAGUUUAAUCAGGAAUAAGGUUAGGUCUGAGCAGGGAGGGCGGAGGAGAAAGUGGCAGGAGCAGCUAAAGCCGAAAGCCCUGCAUUUAGUGAACAUUGCUUGGGCAGCCAGGGCUGAGGGUCUGGACUCCCCUGGGCUCAGAUCCAUGACAAGCUAAUCUGAAAAAAAAAAAAAAAUGAUGUAUAAGAGGAGCCCAAGGCUGUGUGUCUCAUGGGACAUCGAGGCUUCAGGAUGACGUGGCCUGUUUAGUUUUCUGUUCACUGGCCCCUGCCACCUUCUCCACUGUUACCCAAUGGAGGAUACCCUGCUCUUGUCUCCCCUGCCUUACCCAGGUGCCUCCCCACAGAUGAAGUUGAAGGGGGCAGGAAAGGUUGGUCACCUGGCAGGAGGCAGUUGGAGCCUGUACCCCAGAAGAAAGAAGUCAGGGAGAUGCUUGCUAACGGAGGUCUCCUGCCACACUGUGCCGGCUCAUCUUCCUCAGCUGCAGGGCGACCAAAGGCCCAGCCCCAUUCAUCACUCCACGCUGUAGGCUGGUGGCCUGAGUGGUACGUGGAAAAAUACGUAGGACUUGGAGCAAAAGCAGGCCGGAAUGCCAUGGAUUCAGAGGUGGCUGUUUCCUCCUAGGUAGACUCAAAAGAGCACUGGCUGAGGAGUCCACGGGUAAGGAGACAGUGUUGCAUCAUGCCCUAGACCUUGGGCUCUUGAACCGGCUGCCUGGAUUCAGCUCCAGCUUAUCAGCUCUGUGACUUCGAGUAAAUCUUUAAUUUUGUUGAGUCUCAACUAUAAAACGAGCACAAGAAUGGGGCCUACCUCUUUGGGCUGGUGAGACAAUGCAUGAAAGAUGCGGCAUGCAGCAGAUGUGCUGGGCCCCUUCUGCUGUUCUCUUGACCCUCGUGUCACCUGCAGGCUUUCUGGGUGGUUCCAGCAUGCCCAUGGCCGCCUCCUUCAAGCGCCUGUGAUUCUCUCUGCCCAAGGGCUUCUCUAGCUACAUGAGGGUGUUUAGUCCCAACAUGGGGCAU
rnacentral:lncRNA from 1 species